rnacentral:rRNA from 1 species
GCUGGCGGCAUGCUUAACACAUGCAAGUCGAACGGCAGCAUUAGGAGCUUGCUCCUAGAUGGCGAGUGGCGAACGGGUGAGUAACGCGUAGGAAUCUGCCUUGUAGCGGGGGAUAACCCGGGGAAACCCGGACUAAUACCGCAUACGCUCUGAGGAGGAAAGCAGGGGGACCUUUCGGGGCCUUGCGCUAUAAGAUGAGCCUGCGUUAGAUUAGCUUGUUGGUGGGGUAAUGGCCUACCAAGGCAACGAUCUAUAGCUGGUCUGAGAGGAUGAUCAGCCACACUGGAACUGAGACACGGUCCAGACUCCUACGGGAGGCAGCAGUGGGGAAUAUUGGACAAUGGGCGCAAGCCUGAUCCAGCAAUGCCGCGUGUGUGAAGAAGGCCUGAGGGUUGUAAAGCACUUUCAGAAGGGAGGAAGGUCUGUAGGUUAAUAACCUAUGGAAUUGACGUUACCUUCAGAAGAAGCACCGGCUAACUCUGUG